rnacentral:misc_RNA from 1 species
CAGAGAUGCCCGGGCAUUUCACAUUCCCCAAACAAGAGGCGGAGGCGCUGGGCGCCUCCGCCUUUUUCCUGGUCCUC